CCSGAAWKGGCGRAGGCAGGGUCUCUGGGCCRUUACUGACACUGAGAAGCGAAAGCAUGGGUAGCGAACAGGAAAARAKACCCUGGUAGUCCAUGCCGUAAACGUUGGGCACUAKGUGUGGGGRACAUUCCACGUUUUCCGCGCCGUAGCUAACGCAUUAAGUGCCCCGCCUGGGGAGUACGGCCGCAAGGCUAAAACUCAAAGGAAUUGACGGGGGCCCGCACAAGCGGCGGAGCAUGCUGAUUAAUUCGAUGCAACGCGAAGAACCUUACCAAGGCUUGACAUGCACUGGACGGCUGCAGAGAUGUGGCUUUCUUUGGACUGGUGCACAGGUGGUGCAUGGUUGUCGUCAGCUCGUGUCGUGAGAUGUUGGGUUAAGUCCCGCAACGAGCGCAACCCUUGUUCUAUGUUGCCAGCACGUGAUGGUGGGGACUCAUAGGAGACUGCCGGGGUCAACUCGGAGGAAGGUGGGGACGACGUCAAAUCAUCAUGCCCCUUAUGUCUUGGGCUUCAAGCAUGCUACAAUGGUCGGUACAAUGGGUUGCGAAACUGUGAGGUGGAGCGAAUCCCAAAAAGCCGGCCUCAGUUCGGAUUGGGGUCUGCAACUCGACCCCAUGAAGUCGGAGUCGCUAGUAAUCGCAGAUCAGCAACGCUGCGGUGAAUACGUUCCCGGGCCUUGUACACACCGCCCGUCAAGUCACGAAAGUCGGUAACACCCGAAGCCAGUGGCCCAUCCUCGUGAGGGAGCUGUCGAAGGUGGGAUCGGUGAUUGGGACUAAGUCGUAACAAGGUAAAMCYU
rnacentral:rRNA from 1 species